CCUACGGGGGGCAGCAGUGAGGAAUAUUGGUCAAUGGACGAGAGUCUGAACCAGCCAAGUCGCGUGAAGGAUGACUGCCCUAUGGGUUGUAAACUUCUUUUAUAUGGGAAUAAAAUGUUCCACGUGUGGGCUUUUGUAUGUACCAUAUGAAUAAGGAUCGGCUAACCCCGUGCCAGCAGCCGCGGUAAUACGGAGGAUCCGAGCGUUAUCCGGAUUUAUUGGGUUUAAAGGGAGCGUAGGUGGAUUGUUAAGUCAGUUGUGAAAGUUUGCGGCUCAACCGUAAAAUUGCAGUUGAAACUGGCAGUCUUGAGUACAGUAGAGGUGGGCGGAAUUCGUGGUGUAGCGGUGAAAUGCUUAGAUAUCACGAAGAACUCCGAUUGCGAAGGCAGCUCACUGGACUGCAACUGACACUGAGGCUCGAAAGUGUGGGUAUCAAACAGGAUUAGAUACCCUUGUAGUC
rnacentral:rRNA from 1 species